rnacentral:lncRNA from 1 species
CACAGAUCCUACACAAGAUUGACAAGGAGGGUGAGAGGCUGCCGCGGCCCGAGGACUGUCCCCAGGAUGUCUACAACGUCAUGCUGCAGUGCUGGGCCCAUAAGCCUGAGGACCGGCCCACCUUCGUGGCCCUGCGUGACUUCCUGGUGGAGGCCCAGCCCACCGACAUGAGGGCUCUGCAGGACUUCGAGGAGCCCGACAAGCUGCACAUCCAGAUGAACGACAUCAUCACGGUCAUCGAGGGCAGGUAGUGCAUGGGGGGGGGGGACCUUCAGCCAGUCCUGUAAAGCACGACCCCUAAAGCACAGCCCCCCCCAUGUGGGGGCUGGCAGCCAAGGAUGGGGAGCGAUGGGCAGAGCUGUGGGGAGUUUGGGGCUCUGUGCCCCCCCUGACGUGGGCAGCGUGGCUGCCCCACAGCGCCUGUCCCCGCUGACUCACCCCACGGCCUUGCCCUGGGACACAGCUGCCAGGCAGCCGCUCCCUGCUGAUAGCAACGGGGACGUGCCACUGUCACCAGGGCCUCAGUGCCACCUCUGCUCCUGCUCCGAGCCUUUGCUUAGUGGCUGCUCCAUCCUGCCCCGUGCCCUUGUUCUCCACCGUGGAGGUCCCUGGCUCCAGGCUGGGAGGGUGGAUGACAGUGGGUCCCCGGAUGCCCGUCCUCAGAGCAUCCCCUCUGGGAUCCUUUGUCCCCGAGGGACACACCGGAGGCACUCAGCGUCCCUUUCCCCGGUGUCGCACAGGGUGCCAGCCCCCCUGCUGGCCCCACAGCGGGGUGGAGGCGAGGAGAAAGGCGCAGCCUUCCCCUCUGCCCCCCUCCCCUGGGGCUGGCUCCCCGCAUUCCGGCACGGUGAAUCAGGCCGGAUUUGUGUGGCUGCAGGGACCAGCUUUCUCCCCCGGCUGCUCCCCGAUGACUCUUGCCCAGGGUCUGGCGGUGGUUUAAUUGCAGGGAGGGGAGGGGAGGGGAAGGGAAGGGAAACGGCGUCGGCGGAGGGAGGGAAGGAGGGAAAGGAGCGGCGGAGGGCGGCGCGGCCGGGCCACUGCGCGCACAUCGUCCCCGGUGCAUCACGGGCGCGCUGCGGGGCCGCUGCUGCCGCGCUCACCGCGCUGCCGGCCCCGGGUGAACUGCACGGCGGUGAGGGGCACCGGGGGUGGGGGCGGGGAUGGGGAUGCGGUGCUUCUGGGGGUGCCGUUGGGCUGGAGGGGCUGCGUGCAGCCUCGCGUGCCUGUGUUCCCCCGGCAGGCGCGGUGUCGGGGUGGCUCUGCGACUCAGGGGCGUGGGGUAGGGCUGGUGGGGCUUCGUG